GCCAGGGUGCCGUAGUGGUUUGAGUGUUGGGCUAUGACUUUGGAGACCAGGCUUCAAUUCCCUGCUUGGCU
rnacentral:tRNA from 1 species